UACGUAGGGGGCAAGCGUUGGUCCGGAUUUAUUGGGCGUAAAGAGCGUGUAGGCGGCCUUACAGGUCAGCUGUGAAAACUCGAGGCUCAACCUCGAGACGUCGGUUGAAACCGUAUGGCUAGAGUCCGGAAGAGGAGAGUGGAAUUCCCGGUGUAGCGGUGAAAUGCGCAGAUAUCGGGAAGAACACCCGUGGCGAAGGCGGCUCUCUGGGACGUAACUGACGCUGAGACGCGAAAGCGUGGGGAGCAAACAGG
rnacentral:rRNA from 1 species